GUGAGGAAUAUUGGUCAAUGGACGCGAGUCUGAACCAGCCAAGUAGCGUGAAGGAUGACUGCCCUAUGGGUUGUAAACUUCUUUUAUAAGGGAAUAAAGUGAGGGACGUGUCCCUUUUUGUAUGUACCUUAUGAAUAAGGAUCGGCUAACUCCUUUCCAGCAGCCGCGGUAAUACGGAGGAUCCGAGCGUUAUCCGGAUUUAUUGGGUUUAAAGGGAGCGUAGGUUGACGUAUAAGUCAGCUGUGAAAGUUUACGGCUCAACCGUGAAAUUGCAGUUGAUACUGUAUGUCUUGAGUGUACAAGAGGUGGGCGGAAUUCGUGGUGUAGCGGUGAAAUGCUUAGAUAUCACGAAGAACUCCAAUUGCGAAGGCAGCUCACUGGGGUACAACUGACACUGAGGCUCGAAAGUGUGGGUAUCAAACAGGAUUAGAUACCCGUGUAGUCC
rnacentral:rRNA from 1 species